rnacentral:lncRNA from 1 species
UGCACGCAUUUCAUGCACGCAUUGAAAUUUUCCUUGGAAAUCCACUAUCACGCGAAGCGAAACUGGCUUUCGCUAUCACACCGUUGAAAUCCAAAAUCAUUUUUUUUUGGGGGGGGGUCGUGUCAUGUCCACACGGAUUUCAAAAUAAAUUUGCUCGUGCUGAAGUCCUGAAAGUUAGAAUUUCGUUCCCACUGCUAACACGAGAAAGAAAAUACAAAUCAACAUGAGCGUAGCCCCAAGUUUCCGUUGCUUCAAAUUUAAAUUUGUGCUUCAGGCAGUGCUUCUAGCGGCUUUGGCGGGAGGUACCUACGGCCAAGGGUAUCGCUAUCCGUGGUGCGAAUUCUUCGGUUUCGACAAAAUUGCGAACAUCCAGUUUGUGGCCGGAGACAUUUUGAGAGUCAGGGUUGGGGACAGUAUAUGUACGCAACAAGUCCCAAUUCGCUCAUCCUCCUGGAGACCAGUUUCACUUCAUAUUACAUCCACAUUCGAAAGGUGGAAUCCACCUCUAACUUCUACCGAAACGGCAUGGCUAAAAGGAUGGAAAGGACCCAGCUUCAACUAACGUUUGCGCCUAAAGGAGUCGCGCUGGCUAACUAUUUGGCUAACAGGUGGUGGCCGUUUCGCGUGACGCACUGCAACGACGUCCAUUACAUAAGGUAUAUUGCAUUUGGUGAGACCCUCCAGGCAGACUUUUGCCCACUGGGCAGAGAUUUGAACGACGUGGCAGUCGACGUAAUAAGUAACCCGUUCAAUGAAUUCGUUCUUUGGGGAGGCCGAACACUUCUUUAUCAAUAUCGCCGAAGUGGAAGGCCGGAAGGCAGAAGCAAGUCUUAGAGGGCAGGGGCGAGGCGUGAGUGGUCGAUUUAAAAAAAGUUUUUUAAAUUAAUCAUUGUUUGAACUGAGAAAAAAGCCAAUGUUGAUUCGGUUCCUGUUAUAUAUAUCGAUUUUCCUCAAUUUGAAGCUACGGUAUAGAAUCUAUUAAUAAGGUGUUCAUUGCGAACACCCUGUUUAUCGAUCCUUUUAGGUAGCUUUCAAUAUCAACGAUAUAUCGCACGCCACGCCGCUGAAAGGGCUGUGUGAGGAAGUGAGGGCUGUGUGGGCUAUCAAGGCGUGUGAGGCUGUGCGGCGCACAGUGGAACGAGCUAGAAGAAGAGGUCGGACACAAAACUUUUGUCUAAAAUUUCAAAUUUUGAUAAAUAUUACGUCACAAAUUCAAUUUCAAGGGGUGUUUCUGAAGGGAAAUUUCACGAUAAAACCAACAGAGCCACUCUGAAAUUUUUUGUUUCAUAUUUUCGAAAAUAUAAGCUUUCAAAGUUUCCAGAAUUUGUCUAUGUUCUCCCAUUCACUCGAUCCACUGUGCGGCGGUCACUAAUGGUGAGUUGGGUCAGUCAGGGUCACUUACGGGUCACCGAUGUCGAGGAACAAAAGUUUAACGGGAUCAUACACGGCUAUUUGUAGAAAUAAAUAAAUUGACUUUACAAUUAACU